rnacentral:lncRNA from 1 species
UCGGGUUCUGCCUGCUUCCUGCCAGAACAAGGCUAGCUGGACUUGUGGUAGGUGACUCAGACCAUAAAAAACCCUAUUCUCGAUCUGAUGGUGGACUUGAGGUAGGCAUCGAAGAUAUCCAAACGUGCUUUGGGAUCCGGAUGUUCAUUGUUUCGGUUAGAGAAGUUUGACUCCUGACAAAACUAAAAACCUCCAAUAUAUUAGUUCUUUCUUUUCUAAUUCUUUUGUUUUGGUUAACUUUUAAUAAGUUUAUUUUUAAUCUUUUAGUGGAGAUGCACACUUUCCUGUUUAUAUAAAAGAAAAUGAUGGCCAACAUGGACUGACUCUCCAUUGGAAUUUGGAGAGGACUUCCACUUGUGGCUGUACCUGUUCAAGAUACUUUUUGAUGGAGCGUGCAUUGACAAAAUUUCCUUUUGAACCAGCCUCUUACUCUAAUCCAAACAUAGCAUACGACUCGUGUGGUAAAGAAGCCAACUCUUACUGCAGUAGAUUUUACUGCGUGUUUGAUACUGGAAUUCGAUUGUCUUCCUUCUUCCAGAAUUUAUCCAAUAUGUCCCCCAAAACCAGCUGGUGCAUGCCCGAUACUUUCAAUUGUCUUGUAUGAUCUGAAUUCUAGACCAGUUAGUAAUAAUUCGGCCCUCAAUAUAGCCCCUUGGUCACGUGCAUUCUUCUUCUGCGGCUUCCUGCC